UACGUAGGGUGCAAGCGUUGUCCGGAAUUAUUGGGCGUAAAGAGCUCGUAGGCGGUUUGUUGCGUCGGCUGUGAAAUCCCGAGGCUCAACCUCGGGUCUGCAGUCGAUACGAGCAAACUAGAGUGUUGCAGGGGAGACUGGAAUUCCUGGUGUAGCGGUGAAAUGCGCAGAUAUCAGGAGGAACACCGGUGGCGAAGGCGGGUCUCUGGGACGGUACUGAAGCUGAGACGCGAAAGCGUGGGGAGCGAACAGG
rnacentral:rRNA from 1 species